CCUACGGGCGGCAGCAGUGAGGAAUAUUGGUCAAUGGACGAGAGUCUGAACCAGCCAAGUAGCGUGAAGGAUGACUGCCCUAUGGGUUGUAAACUUCUUUUAUAUGGGAAUAAAAUGUUCCACGUGUGGGAUUUUGUAUGUACCAUAUGAAUAAGGAUCGGCUAACUCCGUGCCAGCAGCCGCGGUAAUACGGAGGAUCCGAGCGUUAUCCGGAUUUAUUGGGUUUAAAGGGAGCGUAGGUGGAUUGUUAAGUCAGUUGUGAAAGUUUGCGGCUCAACCGUAAAAUUGCAGUUGAAACUGGCAGUCUUGAGUACAGUAGAGGUGGGCGGAAUUCGUGGUGUAGCGGUGAAAUGCUUAGAUAUCACGAAGAACUCCGAUUGCGAAGGCAGUUCACUGGACUGCAACUGACACUGAGGCUCGAAAGUGUGGGUAUCAAACAGGAUUAGAUACACUAGUAGUC
rnacentral:rRNA from 1 species